rnacentral:misc_RNA from 1 species
AUCCCUCUUAAAUAUAGCACACUACCCAAACCGAGCCCUAGCAAAUCUAACCAAUAUAAUACAAACACUAGGUGCAAUAUAUAUAUUUAUAUAUCCUUGACAUCAAGCUUGACGCUUCUAUUUUUCUUUAAAUAAAAUCACUUAUGAUCAACCCAACGCACAAACUAUUGGUUUUAAGUUGGGCUCAUCAACACCUAUAUAAUCCACCACUAAUUCCCCUUCUCAAGCUACAUAUUACAUAUAUCAGUAGCAGGUAGCAAUAAGGAAAACCCCAAAAUAGAUCCUUUAUGCUGCCUCCGCAAAUCCAACUCGCAGAUUGCCAUAGUCGAAGACAGUAUGGUAGCGACCCAUGAAAAUAUCUCCCAAUAUCCAAAGAGGCCCACGAGGAGGAGGCACAUCCAAAGCAGUAAAGCCACUGAUGCACUGAGCCCCUGAACCCUCGCCCACCUUGAGGAUGUACUCCUCUGGGGUAAGAUAAAAAAUUUUUCCUCCGAUGGUGAAGGAAACAGUAGGCAUUGAAGAGAGACUUCCACAGUCAACAGCUGAUUGUCCCAUUGGGUUCGGAAUUCGAUCACAGAGCUCAUUGACAUAGUUCAGUAUACGAUCUUGUGUCUGAUUCUGUCUCAGCUGGUUCUGCAUCCUAACAACUGUCAUCUCACAGGCACAGCACAUAGCAUUACCAGCAAUACCAUAUGAUUUAAGCAAUAUUAGAUGAUUUAUCAUUGUUCUCAUCCACCACACUCUGAAUGCCCAUGCUAAUACCACGGGUCCCAUCAAAGGUGCACAAUCCAAUUUGAGAGCAGAUUUUCUUUGGUUGAGCCUCAGCUAUAAGCAAAUUCAUUAUGGUUUGUCCAUACUGAGCAACAACAGCCUUGCAUUCCUGGCUUACUACUCCAGUGGCUCCAAUAGCUUGAUUUAUCAUGGUAACCACAGUCGCGGGGCCUGCCAACAAGGAAGUUCCAGAGUCUGCAAUUGCUGAGCAUUUGCCAGCACAAUACCCGGUUGGUUUAUCACCGAUAAGAAUAUCACCCAUGUCAAACUGCCAAUAGCCUUUCUGUGUCACAGGAACAUAUGUGUGCUUGCCCUUGUAAUGAUUGGGAUCAAUGCCACCAAAUACAAUUUCACCCCCUUCUUCUUCCUUAGUAUUGCGGUUAAGCCAAAAGGCAAAUACUGGUUCCUUGAUAAGCCCUUGUUUAACCAUGUUGUACCAGACUGGCACAGCAUUUCCAACUGAAAUUUCUUGAAACCCAAGCCCUAGUAUGCCAUCAAACUUGGCCAUCAAAAAUGUGACACUAGGCUCUGAAGUUGCCUCAAUAAAUUCCUGAUCUUUUACAACCAGGUCACCAACAUUGACAUUAUCAUAACUAAAGAAACCAGAAAUAGCUCCACUACCAUAUUGAAUUUCAGCAGAUUUCCCAUUCUUCCUGUAGGUACUUGAUUGGCUUGACUUGUAC